GCCGGACCCUUGCUCUUCUAGGGGUCUUCUAGAAACGUGACGGCUAUCACAGGCCGCGUGGUAUAACUGGCAUUUGGAAAACGGGGGUGUCUUUCCAUCUGGAGUGGCCUCUCUCCUUUACUCAACCCUGCUUGUGCUUCGACGCCUGUAUCAGACGCCACCUCUACCAAGAAAUUUUUCCAGCUGCAGUCUCAUGCCUGCUACUUUUGAGUAAUGGAGUUCUCACUGUGAAGAGAGAGGUUAAAAAGUGGACUCUUUGA
rnacentral:lncRNA from 13 species